AUCGCUUCUCGGCCUUUUGGCUAAGAUCAAGUGUAAAAAUAUAUAUAAUUUAUUUUAUGUUCCUUGCUGUUUUGCCUGCAGGUAGAUGUGUGUGAGGGUAUCAGGUGCCCUGGUACUACAGUUACAGACAGGUCUGACCUGCCAUGUG
ensembl:snRNA LOC120103322 U2 spliceosomal RNA